rnacentral:rRNA from 1 species
AUGGCCGACAUGUGGGGCCGCUGCGGACACCGAGAGGACGCGCAGCGCGUUCACUUCGUGUCCGCGCCGACGCAUUUUAGGCCCAAAUUACACGAAGCGAACGCAUUUUGGGUUUGGGUCCGCGCUUUGGGCCGACGUUUUUGUCCGCGGCGACCCAAACAGACAUGGCCGGGCCACAUUAGAUUUCCUCUAACAGUCGACAAGAGGGGACUUCGUGGACCAUACUACAGCAACACCGGGCAAAAAGGUGAAAAAUCAUGUUUGUUUCAGCACUACUAUGCGUUUACUACUGUCGUGGAAAGCAGCAUGCUGAUAGGAUCAAACGUACAGAGUAAGUUCAGACAAGAACCGACGAGAGGCUACUUUGAGAGGACGAGGAUCAUAGCUAACCGUCCUCUCAAAGUAGCUAAUGUUUUACUCCUACCAAAUACUAAACGCACACACGCCACCGAGGAGAAAAGCAUCGAUGAGGUUGCAACCAAGUGUCAUCAUCGUCACGCCUUCACGAGGCGACUCCGACUCCACAACCGACGACCAUCGAAGAAGCCCUCGCCGCAAACAAGCGUCGAGGCCUGUGCCGACCGAUGCAAAACAGUCAGCCGCACGCGUCGGCGGCCAGGCAACUUUGACUCUAUUGACAAGCAUAGCAAGAGAAAAGCGUUGGGCUUGUGCCGAGCCAGCGCCAGAGCCGACCACCCGUCUCAUGUCAUCGUCACCCCAAGGGCCCCUCCUCAACAACUCCGACUUCAGGAAGACAAAGCGAGACACGGUGACCCCUUGAACACAUCGGAAGAGACCGACUACCAAGACCCGUUAGCAAACCAGCUCAACUCGAAGCCGCCAUCGUUGCCAGACAAGAAGCCACGCAAACAUCCACCUCGCUGGAUGGACACCAGCCGACCGCAAUGUCGUGACCGUCCAGCCCAUGGAGCGCGCAAACAUCCACACCGCCGGACAGACACCAGCCGACCGCAAUGUCAGGGAAGCAAUGAUGACGACGCGGUCGCCCGACCUGGCCUUAGGCUUUCACUCGAAGAGCAAGAUCCGAGGGUGGCGGACACGGGGAUCCACGAUGGCAUCUCCAAGGAGGUGAAACGACGCCCAUGGCCGCCGAUGUCGCCAGUCGGCAAGAACCCGACAAACUUUUGCCCAGAGCACCCGGCACCACCGGCACCCCCACGCACAGCACCUUCAAGCCACCACAAUCCACUCCUCACCGGCAGCCAGAGCAACGCCAACAAGUCAAAUCUAGCCGUUAGCCAGAUUCGUAUCCCCCCACCUCAGGCAGCCAAAGGGACCGCACACAGCAGGCAACCACCACUUAGGGGUCGCCGCUGCCGCACACAGGGAGCUGCUGCUGCAGCACAAGGGGCGUCGGCGGAGAAGCCAAUCACCAGGUUGCCACCACCAUCAGGCCACAGGAGUCGCCACGCCGUCCAUGAGCAAGGGGAAGGAGGGCCGCCACCCCUCCUAACCCAUACCGGCCAGAUCCAUGAACGGAGCCGCCGUUGCCGCACACAGGGGAGCUGUCGCGGUGGGCCACCGAGCCGGGGAAACGAGAGCCUCCCGCUACCGAGGAACCAUGCCGCUGCGCAGCGAACGCCCCACCGCUGUCGUCUGCUGCGCGGGCUUAGUAAGAUUUAUAACAUGCUUAAACUUCCUUCUGAUUCUUUUCCUCUCGGGUUUCUAGCAUUUUCUUGUGAGGUUCCGGUUUCCAAAAAUACAUUUUCUGGGGAGAUUGUGAAAGCCAAAAUUCUGAAGAUAUGUGAUGUUCGUGCAAAACAUUACCCUUUUCGUGAAGACCUUGCUAAACAAAUGCAUCCUGUUGAGGAGUUGCAUGUAGGGAUGCAGGGCGGCGCCCAAUCCGCUUCCAGUUCAAAACGUGAAAAAUCUGUUUUAGCUGGAUCAGAAAAUAGAGAGAGGAGAAAUGACAGCCGUGAGGGCAGCACCAAUAUGUAG